CUCGACGGUCUAUAAGAUUCCCCUCGAUGCGUUGACGAACCCUAGCUCUCCUUUUCCCCCUCCCCUGUGCCGCUUUCGUCCCCGCAACCCUUGGCCGAACCUACAUCGCCAUGGCCUCUGACAUCCACUCGCCCACCGAGCUCCCCGCGCCCAGCCACCUCGUCCGCGAGCUUCGCCGACGUCCACUCCUUUGACUACGUCCACCAGUUGGAGCCGGGAGCCCCUGGAUCGCAGGGAUCGACGCCGUCUUCAACCUCCAGCCACCGCGACGCCAUCGACGAAUUCGUCGCCGUCGCUCCACCCCCGGCCUUCUCGAGCUCACCUAUGACAUUGCGGUGAGGUCCUCACUCGAUUCCCGCUCUUCCCUGCUCGAUCCAUGCCUAUAGCCGUCGUUCCCCACAGAACUCCGGCCGCCGUUAGUCCUCGUCGCCUCUUGCUCCGGCCACCUCCAUUGUUGCGCUACUGCUGCUACUGUCGCGCACGCUCGUUCGCUGCUGCAGCAUGCGCUCCCGCACGCGCCCACCCGUGGCCUCGCCUCCGCCUACCGCCGCUCACCCGCUGCCGUGCCUCUGCCUCGCCUGGCCGCGUCGACCGUGGCCGCCAUUGCCGUCCAUGUGCGCGACAGCGCGCCUGGUGCUGCUCACCGCCCGCGACGCGCGCGCUUUCCCUGGCCGCGCCCCAGCACCACCGCGCGUGCUCGCCGCCGUGCCCGCUAACCCCCGCGCGCUGCUGUUGCUGCUACUACGAUGAGUUUGCUGCUGCGCUGCUAAUAGCUGUCGAUGUUCAGCUACUCUGCUUGCCACUGUUGCUCGCUUAUACUACUGCUGCUCAAGCUGCCGCCGCCGCCUUCUACUAACUGAUGUUGCUCACUUGCUGCUAUUGCCUUCUGCUGCUACCGCUCCUGGCCAUGGCCGCCAAGGCCCUUGUACAUCUGUACAGGCCGUGUGUGAGGCCGGCUUAGGCCAUUGCCGCUGGGGCUAGCCCCGUUUAGACUAGAUAAUUAUUAGUGGUUAGAUUAGUCCAUGUAUAGAUGACAUGUGAGACCUUGCCAAUUUAAUCCCUGUUAAACUGGCAGUGUAUGACAUAUGGGUCCCGGUGGUCCCUUUGACCAGUCAACGGGUCCAUGUUGACUGCUGACUGUGCAGUCAACUGGACCCCGUUUGUCAGCCCCUCUGUACCCUAUCCUGGGUACACUUUUGGGUGCACAUAUAAUUUAACUGUUUAACAAUUUGGAAUUAAUAAUAUUCCUAAAAAUCCAGAAAAUAAUUAAAACUCUAAAAUUAAUAUAAAAUAAUCCGUAACUCGGAUGAAAAUACUUUGUACAUGAAAGUUGCUCAGAACGACGAGACGAAUCCGAAUACGCAGCCCGUUCGUCCGCCACACAUCCCUAGCAUAGCAAACAGCAACUUUCCCCCUCCGGUUCAUCUGUCCGAAAACGCGAAACAUCGGGGAUACUUUCCCGGAUGUUUUCCUCCUUCGUCGGUAUCACCUCCUACCGCGUUAGGGCACACCUAGCACCGCUCAUUGUCAUGUCAGGCAUCGGCAUGCAUAUGUUUGCAUUAUAUUUAUUUUUUCUUCCCCCUCUUCUCUCGUUAGACACCGAGACCGACG
rnacentral:lncRNA from 1 species